rnacentral:rRNA from 1 species
AUUGAACGCUGGCGGCAUGCCUUACACAUGCAAGUCGAACGGCAGCGCGGGAGCAAUCCUGGCGGCGAGUGGCGAACGGGUGAGUAAUACAUCGGAACGUGCCCAAUCGUGGGGGAUAACGCAGCGAAAGCUGUGCUAAUACCGCAUACGAUCUACGGAUGAAAGCAGGGGAUCGCAAGACCUUGCGCGAAUGGAGCGGCCGAUGGCAGAUUAGGUAGUUGGUGAGGUAAAGGCUCACCAAGCCUUCGAUCUGUAGCUGGUCUGAGAGGACGACCAGCCACACUGGGACUGAGACACGGCCCAGACUCCUACGGGAGGCAGCAGAGGGGAAUUUUGGACAAUGGGCGAAAGCCUGAUCCAGCCAUGCCGCGUGCAGGAUGAAGGCCUUCGGGUUGUAAACUGCUUUUGUACGGAACGAAACGGUCUUUUCUAAUAAAGAAGGCUAAUGACGGUACCGUAAGAAUAAGCACCGGCUAACUACGUG